rnacentral:lncRNA from 10 species
GCUGGGCGUGGUGACGGGCGCCUGUAAUCCCAGUUGCUGGGGAGGCUAAGGCAGGAGAAUCACUUGAACCAGGGAGGCGGAGGUUGCAGUGAGCUGAGAUCAUGCCAUUGCACUCCAGCCUGGGCCACAGCAGUGGAGAGGAUAGGUCCAAGUGACAGAAAGGGAGGAUUGGAAUUAAUUUUUUUUUUUUUUUUUUGAGACGGAGUCUCGCUCUGUCCCCCAGGCUGGAGUGCAGUGGCGUAAUCUUGGCUCACUGCAAGCUCUGCCUUCCGGGUUCACGCCAUUCUCCUGCC